ensembl:lncRNA
GGGGGAUAGAGUCGGAUAGGAGGGGGAUAGAGGUGGAAAGGAGGUGGAAAGGGGUGGAUAGAGCCUGUAUUUCAGAAACCUCCAUCUCAGCUGGGACCAUCACAGCACACACACACAGUUUUAAAUGUAAAUUGCAGAAGGAGAAAUUGGAAGGAUGCUUCAAUAAUUAAGCACUUCCCUCUCCUUCCGCCACAUCUACAGUUUCUCUGGGGGAUGACGAGCACAACAAGGUUAAUUAAGCUUUAACGCAAAACAAACGGCCCGGGCCAAGGGCAGACAUAAAAAUGGACCCUCAUAUGUGCCUCCUAAACAAUAUGAUUGUGCUGCUCCUUCAUGCCCUCCCAGAUUAAUGAUGGGGUUCGUCCAGCACUAUCUCAAGAGAUGGG